AACGAACGCUGGCGGCAGGCCUAGCACAUGCAAGUCGAGUGCCCCGCAAGGGGAGCGGCGGACGGGUGAGUAACGCGUGGGAAUAUGCCCUUUGCUACGGAAUAGUCUCGGGAAACUGGGGGUAAUACCGUAUACGCCCUUUGGGGGAAAGAUUUAUCGGCGAAGGAUUAGCCCGCGUUGGAUUAGGUAGUUGGUGGGGUAAUGGCCUACCAAGCCGACGAUCCAUAGCUGGUUUGAGAGGAUGAUCAGCCACACUGGGACUGAGACACGGCCCAGACUCCUACGGGAGGCAGCAGUGGGGAAUCUUAGACAAUGGGGGCAACCCUGAUCUAGCCAUGCCGCGUGAGUGAUGAAGGCCUUAGGGUUGUAAAGCUCUUUCAGCUGGGAAGAUAAUGACGGUACCAGCAGAAGAAGCCCCGGCUAACUCCGUG
rnacentral:rRNA from 1 species